rnacentral:rRNA from 1 species
GACGAACGCUGGCGGCGUGCUUAACACAUGCAAGUCGAACGGAAAGGCUCCAGCUUGCUGGAGUACUCGAGUGGCGAACGGGUGAGUAACACGUGGGUAAUCUGCCCUGCACUCUGGGAUAAGCCUGGGAAACUGGGUCUAAUACUGGAUAUGACCUUUCUCCUUAUGGGGUUUGGUGGAAAGUUUUUCGGUGUAGGAUGAGCCCGCGGCCUAUCAGCUUGUUGGUGGGGUGAUGGCCUACCAAGGCGACGACGGGUAGCCGGCCUGAGAGGGUGAUCGGCCACAUUGGGACUGAGAUACGGCCCAGACUCCUACGGGAGGCAGCAGUGGGGAAUAUUGCACAAUGGGCGGAAGCCUGAUGCAGCGACGCCGCGUGAGGGAUGACGUCCUUCGGGUUGUAAACCUCUUUCAGCAGGGACGAAGCGUAAGUGACGGUACCUGCAGAAGAAGCACCGGCUAACUAGGUG